CACUCCUACGGGAGGCAGCAGUGGGGAAUUUUGGACAAUGGGCGAAAGCCUGAUCCAGCAAUGCCGCGUGAGUGAAGAAGGCCUUCGGGUUGUAAAGCUCUUUUGUCAGGGAAGAAACGGUGAAAGCUAAUAUCUUUUGCUAAUGACGGUACCUGAAGAAUAAGCACCGGCUAACUACGUGCCAGCAGCCGCGGUAAUAAGUAGGGUGCAAGCGUUAAUCGGAAUUACUGGGCGUAAAGCGUGCGCAGGCGGUUUUGUAAGUCUGAUGUGAAAUCCCCGGGCUCAACCUGGGAAUUGCAUUGGAGACUGCAAGGCUAGAAUCUGGCAGAGGGGGAUAGAAUUCCACGUGUAGCAGUGAAAUGCGUAGGUAUGUGGGGGAACACCGAUGGCGAAGGCAGCCCCCUGGGUCAAGAUUGACGCUCAUGCACGAAAGCGUGGGGAGCAAACAGGAUUAGAUACCCGUGUAGUCCCA
rnacentral:rRNA from 1 species